rnacentral:snoRNA from 1 species
AUGCCAUGAUGUGGAUACUUAACCAGCAUCCAUUUGAACCUCUCCCACGUUUCUUGUAGUGUUUCAGCUGGUUUCUGCUCGAAGCUCAAUAUCUCAUCAACUUGCUU